UGUUCAAGGUCUAACGUUGUUGUGUUAAAAAAUAUUCCAAUGAAUCAUUACUCGAAAAUGGUCAAUUAAAUCUUAGAUUAGAUGAAUAUAUGAUAAUUAGACCGCUUUUGAAUGCUUGUGGCGACUCAACAUUUUAUGAUUCACUGAUCUGCAAAAAAUACAACAACAAAAAAAAAACACUUGUCAUCGACGGCAUCGCCUACGAGACUGGACUGGAGUGAUGUGGCCUGCAGACAGCGUCAUUACUUAAUAUCGAGUCACUGUGAUGAAUCAAAACCACCAUAUCUAUCACAGAGAACCGUUUACCUUAACAAUAUUCUCACAGAUGAGGACAGCAACUGAUAUCGUCCGUCAGUGACUUUUGGAGGCUAUAAUUGAUCUCCAAGAUGAAAUUGGCAAACUGAAGAGGAGAAAAGUAGAAAAUGCUCGCAUCUAUUCUCGACUCACUCACUCACUCACUCACCUCAUACAUUUUAAAGACUCUUCGGAAAGUGACGGCUUCCCACACAGGCCUUUGUUUCCGCAGCAGCACAGCAGGUCGAGUGGCUGAUGGAUGCUGACAGGACUCUGGGGCUCAGGUGAUUGCUGAGUCCUGCGGCCCUUUUCAUUGGCGUUGCAGAGUGAACGAUUUCAGAGCCGCAAGCUUCGCCGCUGACUUGGAAUACUGUUGAGUCUGAUUGAUACGGAGUUGAUGGAAAGAUUAAAAACUUAGCUUUUACUCUCAGGCUCUGACAGAAACGUUUCCACACAAAAACCUAGUCAUAUGCAUGCAAAACACACUCCUCUACUUUUUAAGUGGACCGCCUGGCAUGGAUUUCAUCCUUCAGUUUGUCGGUGUAAUCGAGGCAAUAGGCUUCAAUCAUCAUCUCAUAAAUGACACAGCUCUUGUGGUCAUAAUUAAGGUGGUAGUGAUUUCAAUGAAUAAUGUCUAAUUCUGAUUGCGCCUUGGAUGUUUGUCUUUACCAUGUGGUUGGAAAUAUCUUCAU